AACGAACGCUGGCGGCGCGCCUAAUACAUGCAAGUCGAGCGAGAAGACGUAGCAAUACGUUUGUAAAGCGGCGAACGGGUGAGGAAUACAUGGGUAACCUACCCUCGAGGUGGGGAAUAACUAGACCGAAAGGUUAGCUAAUACCGCGUACGCUCCUUGGACUUCGGUUCAGGGAGGAAAGCGAUACCGUGGGUAUCGCGCUCUUGGAUGGGCUCAUGUCCUAUCAGCUUGUUGGUGAGGUAACGGCUCACCAAGGCUUCGACGGUAGCUGGUCUGAGAGGACGAUCAGCCACACUGGCACUGCGACACGGGCCAGACUCCGUACGGGAGGCAGCAAGUAAGGAAUAUUGCGCAAU
rnacentral:rRNA from 1 species